rnacentral:lncRNA from 1 species
UUAGAGUUUAGGGUUUAGGGUAUAGAGUUUAGGGUUUAGGGUUUAGAUUUUAGGGUUUAGGGUUUAGAGUUGAGAAAUGAGGUUUUGGGGAUAAGAUUUCAAAUUUUGAAAAAUAAAAAAAUUAAAAUUUUCAAAAGAUAAAAUGCUAUUUUGGUCAUUUUAAUUUUUGAAUGCUAUUUUUGUGAUAUAAAUUUAGAAAUGUGAUAUUUUGAAGAUUUGCCCUUUAAAAAUUGUUGAGUAAUGUUUAUGGGUAAUUUAGGUAUGCGGCGAACCAAAAAUUUUGGUCUUGAGGCUUUUUUUUUUGUCUUCGAUUAUG